GCGUCCUCGUGGAAACCGUGUAUAUUUAGUAUUAGGUUAGUUGGGAGGCGGGGCUUAUUUCAUACACGGUUAGUAGUGGAGUUACGUCCCUUUAUAUUCCAUAUAAGGUAAUAAGGAGGCGGGGCUUAUUUCAUACACGGUUAGUAGUGGUGUUACGUCCCUUUAGAAAAACAAAACAGUACUGAGAAAAAUUCUUAAAGGUUUCAACAGACG
rnacentral:lncRNA from 1 species